rnacentral:tRNA from 1 species
UAUUCAACUACAAGAACCCUA